AUACUUACCUGGACGGUGUCAAUGGGCGAUCAAGAUGGUCUUUGGCCUAGGCUGGUGACCUCCAUUGCACUUUGGAGGGGUGCCUGCCUAAGGUCGGACCAAGUGGCUUAGUUCGCGCAGCC
rnacentral:snRNA from 10 species